UUAAAUAUGUAAUUAUACUGUAACAAGAAAACAAGGUAUUUCCUGUUAAUAACUCCUGUAAUAUCACAAACCUUCACGAAGGUCUGGUUACUCGUACCACACACGCUUGACCGCAGCAGCUGCAGUGUUACAGUCACAGCUCCAGCCUCCAGAGGUCAGCAGGUCGGGUCAAAGGUCAGCUGACGUCUAAAAAGAGUACCACACGCGUUUGAACUUGAGUGACAUCUGACGACAUGCACAGGUGUGUGUGUGUGUGUGUGUGUGUGUGUGUGUACAGGUGCAGCGCUGCAGUCAGUCUUCAGUAUGAGAGCGGCUCUGAGCAUCAGGUGAGGAACAUUGUGUUUUCACAUUUAGCAUUUCACUGUCUUCAAUUUAAUGCGUCCUUGCUGAAUAAAAGCAUUAACCCUCCAUACAACACAUAAGAAAUUAAUGCUUUGUUCCAAAGUGACUGUAAAUACAUUUAUAAUGUCACAAAAGAUGUCUGUUCCACAUAAAUUCUGUUCUUCUGAACUUUCUAUUCAUCUGUGAAUCCUGAAAAAUAAAAUGUAUCAGUUUCCACAAAAAUAUUGGCAGCACAACUGUUUUCAACAUUGAUAAUAAUCAGAAAUGUUUCACAGAAAUAAAUUAAGUUUCAGAUAUUACAUGAAACAGUUGUUAAAUUGUAAAAAAUAAAUUACAUUUAAUAAUGCAGUGCACAGAAGAGACUUUAUCUGCAUUAGUGACUCUUGUCAUUUUGUGUUUUUAGUGUUGCUGUGGUUCUGUUGCCGAUCUUCAUGUGUCAUCAGACAACAAGGCAGAUCUGGUCUGAUCCACAGCAGACUGGUUCUGAAGGAGCGGCGUCGAGGUCGUGGAGCUCCUGGGGUUCGUGGGGCGAGUGUUCGCGCUCCUGCGGCAGAGGAGUUCAGGAACAGACCAGAGUCUGUCUGCCACACUAUCCAGCAGUCCGUGAUGCAUCAGCAGCACAGAACACGGCCUCAAACACGCCUAACCAGAGACGCCUGAGCCUCGGCAGAUAUGGAUGGAGGAGAGCGAACAGUAGCCGUAUCAGUCCAGGGGCGUACGGAUACGGCAGGAUGCCAUACGUAACACCUCUACAGAAAGAAUCCAGCCGAUCAUCCCACAAACAGAGACGAUCAGCAUCAAACUUCCCACACCAGAGUUACAGGACUCAUCAGAGAAGCCCGUCUCAAAACACCCGCUAUCACACAGCCGCCCACCCGCCCACUGCUGCCCAACACUCCCGACCGCAGAUGAACACAGCAGCAGUGCAGAGCAGACCGUACAGCCCGCUACCAAACACCUCCUGCCCUGGAGCCCCGAACCGGCACAAGAUCUGCAACAGCAUGGUAACAUCUGCAGAGAAACACCUCUGAUUAUACCUAAAUAGGCAUUAUACAUCUGCUUAUAACAGUUAAUUCCGGUAACACAUUAGACAUUCUAACUAU
rnacentral:lncRNA from 12 species